UACGUAGGGGGCAAGCGUUGUCCGGAUUUAUUGGGCGUAAAGAGCGUGUAGGCGGCUUUACAGGUCCGUUGUGAAAACUCGAGGCUCAACCUCGAGACGCCGGUGGAAACCGUAAAGCUAGAGUCCGGAAGAGGAGAGUGGAAUUCCUGGUGUAGCGGUGAAAUGCGCACAUAUCAGGAGGAACACCCGUGGCGAAAGCGGCUCUCUGGGACGGUACUGACGCUGAGACGCGAAAGCGUGGGGAGCAAACAGG
rnacentral:rRNA from 1 species